rnacentral:rRNA from 1 species
GACGAACGCUGGCGGCGUGCUUAACACAUGCAAGUCGAACGAAGAGCGAUGGAAGCUUGCUUCUAUCAAUCUUAGUGGCGAACGGGUGAGUAACGCGUAAUCAACCUGCCCUUCAGAGGGGGACAACAGUUGGAAACGACUGCUAAUACCGCAUACGAUCUAAACUCGGCAUCGAGGAUAGAUGAAAGGUGGCCUCUACAUGUAAGCUAUCACUGAAGGAGGGGAUUGCGUCUGAUUAGCUAGUUGGAGGGGUAACGGCCCACCAAGGCGAUGAUCAGUAGCCGGUCUGAGAGGAUGAACGGCCACAUUGAGACUGAGACACGGCCCAGACUCCUACGGGAGGCAGCAGUGGGGAAUCUUCCGCAAUGGACGAAAGUCUGACGGAGCAACGCCGCGUGAGUGAUGAUGGCCUUCGGGUUGUAAAGCUCUGUUAAUCGGGACGAAAGGCCUUCUUGCGAAUAGUGAGAAGGAUUGACGGUACCGGAAUAGAAAGCCACGGCUAACUACGUG